AGUGAACGCUGGCGGUAGGCCUAACACAUGCAAGUCGAACGGCAGCACAGUAAGAGCUUGCUCUUACGGGUGGCGAGUGGCGGACGGGUGAGGAAUACAUCGGAAUCUACUUUUUCGUGGGGGAUAACGUAGGGAAACUUACGCUAAUACCGCAUACGACCUACGGGUGAAAGCAGGGGAUCUUCGGACCUUGCGCGAUUGAAUGAGCCGAUGUCGGAUUAGCUAGUUGGCGGGGUAAAGGCCCACCAAGGCGACGAUCCGUAGCUGGUCUGAGAGGAUGAUCAGCCACACUGGAACUGAAACACGGUCCAGACUCCUACGGGAGGCAGCAGUGGGGAAUAUUGGACAAUGGGCGCAAGCCUGAUCCAGCCAUACCGCGUGGGUGAAGAAGGCCUUCGGGUUGUAAAGCCCUUUUGUUGGGAAAGAAAAGCAGCAGGUUAAUACCCGGCUGUUCUGACGGUACCCAAAGAAUAAGCACCGGCUAACUUCGUG
rnacentral:rRNA from 1 species